rnacentral:rRNA from 1 species
GACGAACGCUGGCGGCGUGCCUAAUACAUGCAAGUAGAACGCUGAAGAGAGGAGCUUCCUCUUCUUGGAUGAGUUGCGAACGGGUGAGUAACGCGUAGGUAACCUGCCUUGUAGCGGGGGAUAACUAUUGGAAACGAUAGCUAAUACCGCAUAACAAUGGAUGACACAUGUCAUUUAUUUGAAAGGGGCAAUUGCUCCACUACAAGAUGGACCUGCGUUGUAUUAGCUAGUAGGUGAGGUAAUGGCUCACCUAGGCGACGAUACAUAGCCGACCUGAGAGGGGGAUCGGCCACACUGGGACUGGGACACGGCCCAGACUCCUACGGGAGGGAGCAGUAGGGGAUCUUCGGCAAUGGGGGCAACCCUGACCGAGCAACGCCGCGUGAGUGAAGAAGGGUUUCGGAUCGUGAAGCUCUGUUGUAAGUCAAGAACGGGUGUGAGAGUGGAAAGUUCACACUGUGACGGUAGCUUAACAGAAAGGGACGGCUAACUACGUG